rnacentral:rRNA from 1 species
CUUUACUGCAGCCUGGAAUUGUGUUCGGGCUUCGCUUGCGCAGGAUAGGUGGGAGGCGUUGAAGCAUUCCUUGUGGGGAGUGUGGAGCCAACAGUGAGAUACCACUCUGGUGAGGCUAGAAUUCUAACCCAAUGCCGUGACCCGGCUUGGGAACAGUUUCAGGCGGGCAGUUUGACUGGGGCGGUCGCCUCCUAAAAGGUAACGGAGGCGCGCAAAGGUUCUCUCAGGCUGGUUGGAAAUCAGCCGUAGAGUGUAAAGGCAUAAGAGAGCUUGACUGCGAGACGUACAGGUCGAGCAGGGUGGAAACACGGCCUUAGUGAUCCGACGGCGCUGCGUGGAAAGGCCGUCGCUAAACGGAUAAAAGUUA